rnacentral:rRNA from 1 species
UACGUAGGGUGCAAGCGUUAAUCGGAAUUACUGGGCGUAAAGCGUGCGCAGGCGGUUUUGUAAGUCUGACGUGAAAUCCCCGGGCUCAACCUGGGAAUUGCGUUGGAGACUGCAAGGCUGGAGUCUGGCAGAGGGGGGUAGAAUUCCCGGUGUAGCGGUGAAAUGCGUAGAUAUCGGGAGGAACAUCAGUGGCGAAGGCGGCUACCUGGCCCAAUACUGACACUCAGGUGCGACAGCGUGGGGAGCAAACAGG